rnacentral:lncRNA from 1 species
CAGCAAUAUAGUUGUAUACAUUAUGCCUGAAGGACAUCUAGGUGAGUAUCCCUUGCUUGGCUGGGAAGAAAAUUUAUGUUGUGUUCCUUCUGCAACUCACUGUGCUAAGAUUCUCUCAGUGACUGAGUUGUCAGAAGAGGCCCUAUUCUGUGUCACAACUAUGAGGUUCACCUGCAGGUAGGAGAAGACUUCUUCUUUUGUUCUAGCUCUUCUUUCCUUCAGGCUUCCCAGAGUUCACUGCACCUGAGGUGAGAGGCACCUGCAUUUGGAGUGUGCUGCUUUAGGUAAGUUCACAUUCCACCACUCAGUGGUCUUUUUUUCAAGACAUAUUUUUUAUUUGUAUUAGUCUCUCCUUUUCCCCAUUUUCUUUUCUGGUGAUCUCUUCACAGGUCUCUCCAGAGAGUUCCCAACCCUCAAAUGAAGCCAGCUCUUCCAGCAGAGUCCCAGAAGUCAUAGUAGUAAGAAAAGCUGUUUUGUUUUUGUUAUUUUAAAAAAAAUCAUUUUCUGUACAAUUGGUGGAAGGUGGCUGGGGACAAACUAGUGACUCUAGAUCGCAAAUCCAAAAAUGGAACCACAAGACACACUGUCACCCUCAGAUAGACAAACAAAAGGGUGAACAAUCUUCCUUCUUUCCACACCAAGCUUAAUGGCAGAGGUUUAAGUCUGAAUCUCAUCUCUCUGUUGUGCCCCUGUAGAUCAAUGGCUCAUCCAGCUUCAAACAAAAAUGGCGGGCAAAAUGGUUUUCCAUGAUUGAAGGACAUUUAGGUGAGUAUCCCCUGCUUGCCUAUGAAGAAAAUCUAUACUGUGUUCCGUCUACAACUCAUUGUGAUAAGACUCUUUCAGGUUGCGGUGACUGAGUUGUCAGAAGAGGCCCUAUUCUGCGUCACUACAAUGAGGCUCACCUGCAGGCAGGAAAACACUUCUUCUUUUGUUCUAGCUCUUCUUUCCUUCAGGCUUCCCAGAGUUCACUGCACCUGAGGUGAGAGGCACCUGCAUUUGGACUGGGAUAGAUAGAUAAUUUAUUACGGUCAAAGACCAGCUCGCAAAACACAAUAAAAACAGUGUUCAUAAAGAUAAAAUAUGCAAUCAGAACAGAUUGCAGCAAUAGCUCAUGAGUUAAAAUUGAGAUAUAUACAUACACCCAUACAACUGAGAUUUGGGCUACCAUAAAAAUUGACCCUGAGGCUCCCCAAAGGGUGACUUCAGCUUUUCCCUAGUAAGCUAUUUUAUUCUAGAGGAUGAUCUGUGCCUACAAAUCUAGGCACAAAAUCUGGCUACCAGCCAGGUUGUCUUAUGAUCUUUCCCUAAGAGGAGAGAAUUAAGUUUAGACUUGUCUGGAAGAUCAGCAAGCCUCUUCAGCAAAGGAUCAGUGGUGUCUCUACGAAUCUCAGCAUAAAAAGGACAUCUAAAAAAUAUAUGUUUGGGGCUUCCUAUUUCCCCUAGUGGGCAGGCGCAAAGUCUCUGUGCAUACGGGACUCUUCUAUAGGAGCCUUCCAGAACCGGUGAGGGCAAGGCCGAGCUUCUAGCAAGAGUGAAAGCCCUUCUUGCGUUUCUGGAUGUGAGGAAAUAGAGAUAUGUUGCUGGAGUGGCUACAUAUCUCCCAUUUUCUAUUAUUUUAUAAUUGGGGACCCUUGUACAGUCCUGUUGUCUCUCUAUGUCCAUGAUUCUUUGCCUAACCACAGAUCUAGCUUGGCCUAGGCCCGUAGUUAUGAGGGUUUGGGGAGCAAGGCCCAGUUUCUGAAGUGUUUAAAACUGCUGUCUGCCAGCCAGACUGAAACUGGUUGCUCAGAAUCAAUGGGGCUAUUCCUCGGGGGAGCAGUUUCAGAGUUAGCCACAUAUAUAUUGAAGUUAGACUAAUAUGAGCUUCAACUUUCAUCAUCCCUGUUUCUAGUCUGGCCCAUGCAUUUGAAAUGCAUCUAGGAACUUGUAGAACGGCUCUGAGGAGUUUGGAUUGCACUCGUUCAAGGGGAAUGAACGAGGAGGGAGGCGGGCCCAGAAAGGAUCCAUAAAGGAGCUGUGCUAACGUUUUGGCUUUAUAUCAUUUUAGUGCUUCCAACCCUCAAAUGAAGCCAGCUCUUCCAGCAGAGUCCCAGAAGCCAUGGUGGUAAGAAAAGCUGUCUCUCCACAGAGAGUGUUUCUCCCCCCAAGAGAACAUUUGCAGGUUUUGCUUUUCACCUUGUUGCAUUGCUCAAAAAAAAAGCCAAAGGCACUACUGGUUGGCACUCCUAGUUCCCAGGAUGCGGUUCAAGUCCCUGUGGUGCCCUUGCUAACUUCCAAUGCAACCAUCAUGCCCCUCUAUUUCCCCCUAUAUCCCUAACUUCCCAAAGUAUUAGCAUGGGUAGUGAUUUCAGUGAAUAAGCUUGGUUCUGAGCUCCACUGUGCUGCUUUUGGUUUGACUGGAAGAAGCCUCCUCAGUAGGAACAUCUUCACUGAUAGAUGGACAGCAGC